GCUCCAUGUAAUCGGCAGAAGUCUUGCUUUCAUAGUCUUUGGUGGUGUCCAGAUCCAACACUUUGAAGGAGACGUAGUUUGACUCCACAGCUGAAGAUACAGACAGAGGAUAGCUGACUUGAGGCUGCGUCUUCACAACAUACAUCAGAGACAUCUUACCAUCACAGUCGCUCCCGUUGAGAGAACAUACACAACUGAAGUACAGACAGAGGAUAGCUGACUUGAGGCUGCGUCGUCAUCAGAGAUACAUCAGAGACAUCUUACCAUCACAGUCGCUCCCGUUAAGAGAACACACACAGCUGAAGUACAGGUGGCAUUAUCAUGACAGUCAUCAAUACCCAGGGCACACUCAUCAAUGUCUAGUAAAACAAGAGAGUGGACAACAUUACUUCCUUGUGCAUGAUGUGGAGAAUUGUCAUUGUGCCGACA